rnacentral:lncRNA from 1 species
UGAUUUGAAAUACUUGCACACAAACCGCGAGAAAGCGUUCCUGGAAAUCUCAGCCCAAAAAAGGAUGUUUAGUAAUUCUAAAAGGGACUACAGGAUGAAAAACAAUAGUUUUGGCAGUUAAAGUUUGAGAUUUGACGGUGUCGUAGAUCCGUUUGGUCAUCAGGUGUUACGAGCCACACCCAUGUCUAGCUAGAAUAGUGUGUUAGGCUCAGGCUAGAGAAGAAACGGGGAACAAACUGAUGAAAGAAUGAUCAAACCGAGGGGAUUCACUCAGAACUAACAAGAAUGAUAACGUGCUCCGACUAGAGCGGUUUAGGAACUUCUGGAAGGCUCUAGGGGAAUAAAGAUGGAAUGACUUCUAAUUUUUAGGUCCGUAUGAUUUGAAAUACUUUCACACAAACCGCGCGAAAGCGUUCCUGGAAAUCUCAGCCCCAAAAAGGACGUUUAGUAAUUCUAGAAGGGACUAUAGGAUGAAAAACAAUAGUUUUGGUAGUUAAAGUUUGAGAUUCGAUGGUGCCGUGGAUCCGUUUGGUCAUCAGGUGUUACGAGCCACACCCAUGUCUAGCUAGAAUAGUAUGUUAGGCUCAGGUUAGAGAAGAAACGGGGAACAAACUGAUGAAAAAAUGAUCAUACCAAGGGAAUUCACUCAGAACUAACAAGAAUGAUAACGUGCUCCGACUGGAGCGGUUUAGGAACUGCUGGAAGGCUCUAGGGGAAUAAAGAUGGAAUGACUUCUAAUUUUUACGUCCGUAUGAUUUGAAAUACUUGCACACAAACCACGCAAAAGCGUUCCUGGAAAUCUCAGCCUAAAAAAGGACGUUUAGUAAUUCUAAAAGGGACUACAGGAUGAAAAAUAAUAGUUUGGGCAGUUAAAAUUUGAGAUUCAACGGUGCCGUAGAUCCGUUUGGUCAUGAGGUGUUACGAGCCACACCCAUGUCUAGCUAGAAUAGUGUGUUAGGCUCAGGCUAGAGAAGAAACGGGGAACAAAUUGAUGAAAGAAUGAUCAUACCGAGGGAAUUCACUCAGAACUAACAAGAAUGAUAACGUGCUCCGACUGGAGCAGUUUGGAAACUGUUGGUAGGCUCUAGGGGAAUAAAGAUGGAAUCACUUCAAAUUUUUAGGUCCGUAUGAUUUGAAAUACUGGCACACAAACCGCGCGAAAGUGUUCCUGGAAAUCUCAGCCCAAAAAAGGACGUUUAGUAAUUCUAAAAGGGACUACAGGAUGAAAAACAAUACUUUUGGCAGUUAAAGUUUGAGAUUCGACGGUGCCGUAGAUCUGUUUGGUCAUCAGGUGUAACGAGCCACACCCAUGUCUAGCUAGAGUAGUGUGCUAGGCUCAGACUAGAGAAGAAACGGGGAACAAAGUGAUGAAAGAAUGAUCAUACCGAGGGAAUUCACUCAGAACUAACAAGAAUGAUAACGUGCUCCGACUGGAGCGGUUUAGGAACUGCUGGAAGGCUCUAGGGAAAUAAAGAUGGAAUGACUUCUAAUUUUUAGGUCCAUAUCAUUUGAAAUACGUGCACACAAACCCCGAGAAAGCGUUCCUGGAAAUCUCGGCCGAAAAAAGGAUGUUUAAUAAUUCUAAAAGGGACUACAGGAUGAAAAACAAUAGUUUUGGCAGUUAAAGUUUGAGAUUUGACGGUGCCGUAGAUCUGUUUGGUCAUCAGGGGUUACGAGCCACACCCAUGUCUAGCUAGAAUAGUGUGUUAGGCUCAGGCUAGAGAAGAAACGGGGAACAAAUUGAUGAAAGAAUGAUCAUACCGAGGGAAUUCACUCAGAACUAACAAGAAUGAUAACGUGCUCCGACUGGAGCAGUUUGGAAACUGUUGGUAGGCUCUAGGGGAAUAAAGAUGGAAUCACUUCUAAUUUUUAGGUCCGUAUGAUUUGAAAUACAUGCACACAAACCCCAAGAAAGCGUUCCUGGAAAUCUCGCCCCGAAAAACGACGUUUAGUAAUUCUAAAAGGGACUACAGGAUGAAAAACAAUACUUUUGGCAGUUAAAGUUUGAGAUUCGACGGUGCCGUAGAUCUGUUUGGUCAUCAGGUGUAACGAGCCACACCCAUGUCUAGCUAGAGUAGUGUGCUAGGCUCAGACUAGAGAAGAAACGGGGAACAAAGUGAUGAAAGAAUGAUCAUACCGAGGGAAUUCACUCAGAACUAACAAGAAUGAUAACAUGCUCCGACUGGAGCGGUUUAGGAAGUGCUGGAAGGCUCUAGGGAAAUAAAGAUGGAAUGACUUCUAAUUUUUAGGUCCAUAUCAUUUGAAAUACGUGCACACAAACCCCGAGAAAGCGUUCCUGGAAAUCUCGGCCGAAAAAAGGAUGUUUAAUAAUUCUAAAAGGGACUACAGGAUGAAAAACAAUAGUUUUGGCAGUUAAAGUUUGUGAUUCGAUGGUGCCGUAGAUCUGUUUGGUCAUCAGGUGUUACGAGCCACACCCAUGUCUAGCUAGAACAGUGUGUUAGGCUCAGGCUAGAGCAGAAACGGGGAACAAACUUAUGAAAGAAUGAUCAUACCGAGGGAAUUCACUCAGAACUAACAAGAAUGAUAACGUGCUCCAACUGGAGCGGUUUAGGAACUGCUGGAAGGCUCUAGGGGAAUAAAGAUGGAAUGACUUCAAAUUUUUAGGUCCGUAUGAUUUGAAAUACUUGCACACAAACCGCUAGAAAGCGUUCCUGGAAAUCUCAGCCCAAAAAAGGACGUUUAGUAAUUCUAAAAGGGACUACAGGAUGAAAAACAAUAGUUCUGGCAGUUAAAGUUUGAGCUUCGAUAAUGUCGUAGAUCCGUUUGGUCAUCAGGUGUAACGAGCCACACCCAUUUCUAGCUAGAGUAGUGUGCUAGGCUCAGACUAGAGAAGAAAUGGGCAACAAACUAAUGAAAGAAUGAUCAUACCGAGGGAAUUCACUCAGAACUAACAAGAAUGAUAACGUGCUCCGACUGGAGCGGUUUAGGAACUGCUGGAAGGCUCUAGGGGAAUAAAGAAGGAAUGACUUCUAAUUUUUAGGUCCGUAUGAUUUGAAAUGUGUGCACACAAACCCCGAGAAAGCAUUCCUGGAAAUCUCGGCCCAAAAAAGGACGUUUAGUAAUUCUAAAAGGGACUACAGGAUGAAAAACAAUAGUUUUGGCAGUUAAAGUUUGAGAUUCGAUAAUGCCGUAGAUCCGUUUGGUCAUCAGGUGUAACGAGCCACACCCAUGUCUGGUUAGAGUAGUGUGCUAGGCUCAGACUAGAUAAGAAACGGGGAACAAACUGAUGAAAGAAUGAUCAUACCGAGCGAAUUCACUCAGAACUAACAAGAAUGAUAACAUGCUCCGACUGGAGCGGUUUAGGAACUGCUGGAAGGCUCUAGGGGAAUAAAGAUGGAAUGACUUCUAAUUUUUAGGUCCGUAUGAUUUGAAAUACUUGCACACAAACCACGCGAAAGCGUUCCUGGAAAUCUCAGCCCAAAAAAGGACGUUUAGUAAUUCUAAAAGGGACUACAGGAUGAAAAACAAUAGUUUUGGCAGUUAAAGUUUGAGAUUCGACAGUGCCGUAGAUCCGUUUGGUCAUCAGGUAUUACGAGCCACACCCAUGUCUAGCUAGAAUAGUGUGCUAGGCUCAGGCUAGAGAAGAAACGGGGAACAAACUGAUGAAAGAAUGAUCAAACCGAGGGAAUUCACUCAGAACUAACAAUAAUGAUAACGUGCUCCGACUGGUGCGGUUUAGGAACUGCUGGAAGGCUCUAGGGGAAUAAAGAUGGAAUGACUUCUAAUUUUUAGGUCCGUAUGAUUUGAAAUACUUGCACACAAACCGCGCGAAAGCGUUCCUGGAAAUCUCAGCCCAAAAAAGGACGUUUAGUAAUUUUAAAAGGGACUAUAGGAUGAAAAACAAUAGUUUUGGCAAUUAAAGUUUGAGAUUCGACGGUGUCGUAGAUCCGUUUGGUCAUCAGGUGUUACGAGCCACACCCAUGUCUAGCUAGAAUAGUAUGUCAGGCUCAGGUUAGAGUAGAAACGGGGAACAAACUGAUGAAAGAAUGAUCAUACCAAGGGAAUUCACUCAGAACUAUCAAGAAUGAUAACGUGCUCCGACUGGAGUGAUUUAGGAACUGCUGGAAGGCUCUAGGGGAAUAAAGAUGGAAUGACUUCUAAUUUUUACGUCCGUAUGAUUUGAAAUACUUGCACACAAAUCACGCAAAAGCGUUCCUGGAAAUCUCAGCCUAAAAAAGGACGUUUAGUAAUUCUAAAAGGGACUACAGGAUGAAAAACAAUAGUUUGGGCAGUUAAAAUUUGAGAUUCGACGGUGCCGUAGAUCCGUUUGGUCAUCAGGUGUUACGAGCGACACCCUUGUCUAGCUAGAAUAGUGUGUUAGGCUCAGACUAGAGAAGAAACGGGGAACAAAGUGAUGAAAGAAUGAUCAUACCGAGGGAAUUCACUCAGAACUAACAAGAAUGAUAACGUGCUCCGACUGGAGCGGUUUAGUAACUGCUGGAAGGCUCUAGGGGAAUGAAGAUGGAAUGACUUCUAAUUUUUAGGUCCGUAUGAUUUGAAAUACAUGCACACAAACCCUGAGAAAGCGUUCCUGGAAAUCUCGGUCGAAAAAAGGAUGUUUAAUAAUUCUAAAAGGGACUACCGGAUGAAAAACAAUAGUUUUGGCAGUUAAAGUUUGUGAUUCGAUGGUGCCGUAGAUCUGUUUGGUCAUCAGGUGUUACGAGCCACACCCAUGUCUAUCUAGAAUAGUGUGUUAGGCUCAGGCUAGAGCAGAAACGGGGAACAGACUUAUGAAAGAAUGAUCAUACCGAGGGAAUUCACUCAGAACUAACAAGAAUGAUAACGUGCUCCGACUGGCGCGGUUUAGGAACUGCUGGAAGGCUCUAGGGGAAUAAAGAUGGAAAGACUUCUAAUUUUUAGGUCCGUAUGAUUUGAAAUACUUGCACACAAACCGCACGAAAGCGUUCCUGGAAAUCUCAGCCUAAAAAGGAUGUUUAGUAAUUCUAAAAGGGACUACAAGAUGAAAAAUAAUAGUUUGGGCAGUUAAAAUUUGAGAUUCGACGAUGCCGUAGAUCCGUUUGGUCAUCAGGUGUUAUGAGCCACACCCAUGUCUAGCUAGAAUAGUGUGUUAGGCUCAGGCUAGAGAAGAAACGGGGAACAAACUGAUGAAAGAAUGAUCAUACCGAGGGAAUUCACUCAGAACUAACAAGAAUGAUAACGUGCUCCGACUGGAGCAGUUUAGAAACUGCUGGAAGGCUCUAAUGGAAUAAAGAUGGAAUGCCUUCAAAUUUCUAGGUCCGUAUGAUUUGAAAUACUUGCACACAAACCGCUCGAAAGCGUUCCUGGAAAUCUCAGCCCAAAAAAGGACGUUUAGUAAUUCUAAAAGGGACUACAGGAUGAAAAACAAUAGUUUUGGCAGUUAAAGUUUGAGAUUCGAUGGUGCCGUAGAUCCGUUUGGUCAUCAGGUGUAACGAGCCACACACAUGUCUAGCUAGAGUAGUGUGCUAGGCUCAGACUAGAGAAGAAACGGGGAACAAAGUGAUGAAAGAAUGAUCAUACCGAGGGAAUUCACUCAGAACUUACAAGAAUGAUAACGUGCUCCGACUGGAGCGCUUUAGUAACUGCUGGAAGGCUCUAGGCGAAUAAAGAUGGAAUGACUUCUAAUUUUUAGGUCCGUAUGAUUUGAAAUACUUGCACACAAACCACGCAAAACCGUUCCUAGAAAUCUCGGUCGAAAAAAGGACGUUUAGUAAUUCUAAAAGGGACUACAGGAUGAAAAACAAUAGUUUUGGCAGUUAAAGUUUGAGAUUCGAUGGUGCCGUAGAUCCGUUUGGUCAUCAGGUGUUACGAGCCACACCCAUGUCUAGCUAGAGUAGUGUGCUAGGUUCAGACUAGAGAAGAAACGGGGAACAAA